UUAAAAUUUCACUUUCAACUUCCAUCCAUUAACCUCAUUCCAAACAAGAUGUUGUUGAUAUACAUUCAUUAUUCCCUUCCAUUUCGCAAUCUCCACUCUCAUCUAAAUUUCACUCUCUCAUCUCCAUUCACCUCCGUCAAUUCUUUCCUCCAGGUCGAUACCCAUGCAGUUCUCCUCCCUCUUAACAUCUAACCAGAGUCGGUGCUUUCAAUUUUAAGCUUGAGUCCUUUGUUUAUCAAUGAACAUCACAAAAGGAGAAAUCAUAGGGUGCUCGAUGGAACUGGUUCUGAACUAUUUCUUGCAAUGAACUUCCACAGCAAGAUUGCGUUCAAUAUCACGCGAGUUGGCAGCAAGCAAGAUAUGAUCUCUUUUCAUCCAAUUUGAUUAAAUUUUUUCCCUUUCUAUGUUUUAGUUAGAUUUUUAAUAUUUUUGGGCAAAAUUUGCUUUUAUGAUGUUCAUCUUAUGGAUAUGUAUUGGAUCUUAAUUUAUUUCGUUGAA